rnacentral:rRNA from 1 species
ACGUAGGUGCUGCAUGGUUGUCGUCAGCUCGUGCCGUGAGGUGUCGGGUUAAGGUCCCAUAACGAGCGCAACCCCUACCUUUACGUUGCCAUCAGGUUAAGCUGGGGACUCUAAAGGAACUGCCUACGCAAGUAGUGAGGAAGGCGGGGAUGACGUCAAAUCAGCACGGCCCUUACGUCCAGGGCUACACACGUGCUACAAUGGCCGAUACAGAGGGCAGCUACCUGGUGACAGGAUGCAAAUCUCCAAAGUCGGUCUCAGUUCGGAUCGGAGUCUGCAACCCGACUCCGUGAAGUUGGAUUCGCUAGUAAUCGCGCAUCAGCCAUGGCGCGGUGAAUACGUUCCCGGGCCUU